rnacentral:rRNA from 1 species
UAGGGAAUCUUCGGCAAUGGACGAAAGUCUGACCGAGCAACGCCGCGUGAGUGAAGAAGGUUUUCGGAUCGUAAAACUCUGUUGUUAGAGAAGAACAAGGACGUUAGUAACUGAACGUCCCCUGACGGUAUCUAACCAGAAAGCCACGGCUAACUACGUGCCAGCAGCCGCGGUAAUACGUAGGUGGCAAGCGUUGUCCGGAUUUAUUGGGCGUAAAGCGAGCGCAGGCGGUUUCUUAAGUCUGAUGUGAAAGCCCCCGGCUCAACCGGGGAGGGUCAUUGGAAACUGGGAGACUUGAGUGCAGAAGAGGAGAGUGGAAUUCCAUGUGUAGCGGUGAAAUGCGUAGGUAUAUGGGGGAACACCAGUGGCGAAGGCGGCUCUCUGGUCUGUAACUGACGCUGAGGCUCGAAAGCGUGGGGAGCAAACAGG